CAGCAGCCGCGGUAACACCAGCAGCCCAAGUGGUGGUCGCGAUUAUUGGGCCUAAAGCGCUCGUAGCCGGGCCAGUAAGUCCCUUGUGAAAUCGGACGGCCUAACCGUUCGGCGUGCAAGGGAUACUGUCGGUCUUGAGGCCGGGAGACGUCCGAGGUACUCCGGGAGUAGCGGUGAAAUGUUCUGAUCCUCGGGGGACCACCGGUGGCGAAGGCGUUCGACGAGAACGGGCCUGACGGUGAGGGGCGAAGGCUAGGGGAGCAAACAGGAUUAGAUACCCCGGUAGUCCCUGUCUCUUAUU
rnacentral:rRNA from 1 species